CAGUGUCCCGUUACAGUAACGAAUGCUCUAGCGCGUGAUGCCUGGCUCAGUAAGUCCUAUCAAGGUUAACCCGUAUUGGAUCCCCUAACAGUUUGAUCCACGGCUCACGUAAGACUGGACAUAGCUCCCGGAAACCGGGGCUCAUACCGGAUAACAUUUUGAACCGCAUGGUUCGAAAUUGAAAGGCGGCUUCCGCUGUCACUUAUGGAUGGACCCGCGACUCAUUAACUAGUUGGUGAGGUAACGGCUCACCAUUUCAUCGAUGCCUAUCCGACCUGAGAGGGUAAUCUGCCCACUGGGACUUUGAAAAAGCCCAUACUCCAUCCGGGACCCAACUGUAUGGUAAACUUUCCUUUUUGAACGAAAUUCUGACAGUAUAACCCACCCGAAAGAAGUGGGAGUGGGAGGGAGGGGAGCGGAUGACGCCCGGUACGCUCAAGGGGGCAGGGGCGGGCGGGCCGCAAACAUCUUUUUUUAGUUUAUAUGAUUACUUAUUAUAAAUAUUUGUUAUAGUAUAAGAAAUGAAGAUGGAGGUCAGGAUGCAGGAUCUCUAAGUUGUGGACUAUGUAUCUGUGUAUGCAUAAGAAGUAGAGUGUGCGCUCAUCGAUGUAUGUGUGUGUGCCGUAAUAGCGUGAACGAUAGUGAGUUGUGAGACGUGGAGUAUAAGCUGUGAUGUCGUGGAAUGAUGAGGAUAUCGAUGUCGUUGCAGCGUGUGUGGAUAGAUAUGAUGUUGUGAUGAGUCUGACGUACUGUAAGUGGCCUGAUUAGUGACUACGCCAUACUACACGAUAUAUCGCCAGCUCGGUGUGGACAUCUAUAUGUGAGAAGUGUGCAAACCCCAGGGGUGAAGGCCGAUUUUUUGUUCUUUAACUGACAAUGAGGCGCGAAAAGGUGGGGAGC
rnacentral:rRNA from 1 species